rnacentral:rRNA from 1 species
GACGAACGCUGGCGGCGUGCCUAAUACAUGCAAGUCGAGCGCAGGAAGCUGACGGAACUCUUCGGAGGGAAGGCAGUGGAAUGAGCGGCGGACGGGUGAGUAACACGUAAGGAGCCUGCCUCAAGGAUUGGGAUAACUCCGAGAAAUCGGAGCUAAUACCGGAUAGUUCAACGGACCGCAUGGUCCGCUGAUGAAAGGCGCUCCGGCGUCACCUUGAGAUGGCCUUGCGGUGCAUUAGCUAGUUGGUGGGGUAGCGGCCCACCAAGGCGACGAUGGAUAGCCGACCUGAGAGGGUGAUCGGCCACACUGGGACUGAGACACGGCCCAGACUCCUACGGGAGGCAGCAGUAGGGAAUCUUCCACAAUGGACGAAAGUCUGAUGGAGCAACGCCGCGUGAGUGAUGAAGGUUUUCGGAUCGUAAAACUCUGUUGUAAGGGAAGAACACGUACGAGAGGGAAUGCUCGUACCUUGACGGUACCUUACGAGAAAGCCACGGCUAACUACGUGCCAGCCGCCGCGGUAA